UUGGCCCUGAAUCAAGGGCGGCAGCUUCCUGACGCUGUUGGUUUCAAGCAGGAGCCUAAAGAGAUGUCUUUCUAUGAUCUGUUGGCCAUUUCAGAACUUGGGCAGUGAAAUGGUCAAUUCAUUAGAAAGAAACAGCU
ensembl:snoRNA small nucleolar RNA SNORA2/SNORA34 family